rnacentral:rRNA from 1 species
AGUGAACGCUGGCGGUAGGCCUAACACAUGCAAGUCGAACGGCAGCACAGUAAGAGCUUGCUCUUACGGGUGGCGAGUGGCGGACGGGUGAGGAAUACAUCGGAAUCUACUUUUUCGUGGGGGAUAACGUAGGGAAACUUACGCUAAUACCGCAUACGACCUACGGGUGAAAGCAGGGGAUCUUCGGACCUUGCGCGAUUGAAUUAGCCGAUGUCGGAUUAGCUAGUUGGCGGGGUAAAGGCCCACCAAGGCGACGAUCCGUAGCUGGUCUGAGAGGAUGAUCAGCCACACUGGGACUGAGACACGGUCCAGACUCCUACGGGAGGCAGCAGUGGGGAAUAUUGGACAAUGGGCGCAAGCCUGAUCCAGCCAUGCCGCGUGGGUGAAGAAGGCCUUCGGGUUGUAAAGCCCUUUUGUUGGGAAAGAAAAGCAGCAGGUUAAUACCCCGCUGUUCUGACGGUACCCAAAGAAUAAGCACCGGCUAACUUCGUG